rfam:Ictidomys tridecemlineatus contig040124, whole genome shotgun sequence.
UUUGCAUUGAUGAGAACAGAAACAUAAACUAUGACCUAGGGGUUUCUGUUGGAUAGUUAGUAAA